UCAUCCCUAUAUUUGAUGCAAUGAUUAACAGAAUAGCAAAUAACUGGUGGUGGAUAAACUUACGUCGAACGUCGUGAGCUAAGUCCCCAUUAUUAUCAUAUAAGAGGCUUGUC
rfam:Muricauda ruestringensis DSM 13258, complete genome.